rnacentral:rRNA from 1 species
UACGGGGGGGCAAGCGUUGUUCGGAAUUACUGGGCGUAAAGGGCGUGUAGGCGGCCACUAAGUCCGACGUGAAAUCCCCAGGCUUAACCUGGGAACUGCGUCGGAUACUGGAUGGCUUGAAUCCGGGAGAGGGAUGCAGAAUUCCAGGUGUAGCGGUGAAAUGCGUAGAUAUCUGGAGGAAUACCGGUGGCGAAGGCGGCAUCCUGGACCGGCAUUGACGCUGAAGCGCGAAAGCUAGGGGAGCAAAC